CCUACGGGAGGCAGCAGUGGGGAAUAUUGCACAAUGGGCGCAAGCCUGAUGCAGCCAUGCCGCGUGUGUGAAGAAGGCCUUCGGGUUGUAAAGCACUUUCAGUCGUGAGGAAGGUAGUGUAGUUAAUAGCUGCAUUACUUGACGUUAGCGACAGAAGAAGCACCGGCUCACUCCGUGCCAGCAGCCGCGGUAAUA
rnacentral:rRNA from 1 species